rnacentral:rRNA from 1 species
UACGUAGGUGGCGAGCGUUGUCCGGAAUUACUGGGUGUAAAGGGUGCGUAGGCGGGUUUGCAAGUCAGGCGUGAAAACUAUCGGCUCAACCGGUAGCCUGCGUUUGAAACUGUGAAUCUUGAGUGGUGAAGAGGUAAGCGGAAUUCCUAGUGUAGCGGUGAAAUGCGUAGAUAUUAGGAGGAACACCAGUGGCGAAGGCGGCUUACUGGGCACUAACUGACGCUGAGGCACGAAAGCAUGGGGAGCAAACAGGAUUAGAUACCCUGGUAGUCCAUGCCGUAAACGAUGAUUACUAGGUGUAGGGGGUAUCGACCCCCCCUGUGCCGGAGUUAACACAAUAAGUAAUCCACCUGGGGAGUACGGCCGCAAGGUUGAA